UAGCUGAUUUAUUCACCUUACAAUUAUACUAUUAUUUGAAGAUGCGAAUAUCUACUGAAAGUGUUGAUGUAAUGGUGUUGAUAGGUUUUGUGAGUAUUUGAAAUGCCUUUUUAAGUAGAGGUAUUAGAGAUACGAAGUUCUAGCUUUGUUCUUGGGGUAAUCUGAAAAAGAACUUUUGAGGUAGCUCAACUAAUCUGGUGUAAAGCUAUGAAGCAUUUUUAUUUUUUGAAAAGGUUACUGAAGGGGGAUACCUUAAUUUUGUUUUAUCCCUACAUCAGUUUAAGUAUAUUAAGCUCACAUUUAGUUAGAUGUAUAGCUUGCAUGGCAAUAUUCUAAUGUAUACUGCUAGCCAUGCACUUGCCUUUGUGGAUAACCAGGAGUACAGGCGCCUGCGCUUUAAGAGAACAGGAACAACGCAAGUCCUCCCUACGCCUCCUCUCCAAUUCUGCCCAAGAGCCACCCAACAUGUCUUGGCAAAGAUGGAAAGAGGAUGAGUUCUUCAUUUCGUAUAGGUGAUUAUUUGAUGUUUUCGAUGAUUGGCUCGAUUCCUUCCUUCUAGCAAAGACCCUCAAAUAAUUCUCACCUAUGUGUGUGUGCGAGGUAGGGGUCUCGAGCCAUGUUUAUUGGGUUAGGUAUGCAUAUUUUUUCACAUGUUGCAACGCAUAAGCAUUUUUAAUAGUGCUCACCUAUGUGUGUAUGUGGGAGGGAGGAGUUUUGAACCAUGUUUAUUGGGUUAGGUACGUGUAUUUCUUCACCCAUUGCAACACACGGACAUUUUUGCUAGUUAAUGAAUAAUAUAAAUGGACAUGCUCCUUGAGCUGAUGCGGUCAUUUGAUAGAUAGCACCUGCAUAAAAGGGCAUCCAGAUGCUAUCUAGUAUAUAUCAUUUGUAAUGCAAUGCACAAUAAAGUUGCCCUAUGUUUUCUUAUCA